UACAGAGGUCUCAAGCGUUGUUCGGAUUCAUUGGGCGUAAAGGGUGUGUAGGUGGCGCCGUAAGUCAGGGGUGAAAUCCUGGAGCUCAACUCCAGAACUGCCUUUGAUACUGAGGAUCUUGAGUACGGGAGAGGUGAGUGGAAUUCCUAGUGUAGAGGUGAAAUUCGUAGAUAUUAGGAAGAACACCAGUGGCGAAGGCGGCUCACUGGCCCGGUACUGACGCUGAGGCGCGAAAGCGUGGGGAGCAAACAGG
rnacentral:rRNA from 1 species